rnacentral:rRNA from 1 species
GAUGAACGCUAGCGGCAGGCUUAACACAUGCAAGUCGAGGGGUAGUCUAGCAAUAGAUGAGACCGGCGCACGGGUGCGUAACGCGUAUGCAAUCUACCUUUUACAGGGGGAUAGCCCAGAGAAAUUUGGAUUAAUACCCCAUAGUAUAUAUCAUUCGCAUGUUUGGUAUAUUAAAGUUCCAACGGUAAAAGAUGAGCAAGCGUCCCAUUAGCUAGAUGGUAAGGUAACGGCUUACCAUGGCUACGAUGGGUAGGGGUCCUGAGAGGGAGAUCCCCCACACUGGUACUGAGACACGGACCAGACUCCUACGGGAGGCAGCAGUGAGGAAUAUUGGACAAUGGGCGCAAGCCUGAUCCAGCCAUGCCGCGUGCAGGAAGACGGUCCUAUGGAUUGUAAACUGCUUUUGUACGGGAAGAAACACUCCCUCGUGAGGGAGCUUGACGGUACCGUAAGAAUAAGGAUCGGCUAACUCCGUGCCAGCAGCCGCCGUAACAC